CACGUAGGGGACGAGCGUUGUCCGGAUUCAUUGGGCGUAAAGCGCGCGUAGGCGGCUCGGAAAGUCGGUCGUGAAAUGCCGGGGCUCAACCCCGGGACUGCGUCCGAUACUUCCGAGCUGGAGGCAGGUAGGGGAGAUCGGAAUUCCACGUGUAGCGGUGAAAUGCGUAGAUAUGUGGAGGAACACCAGUGGCGAAGGCGAGUCCCUGGACAACUCCUGACACUGAGGCACGAAAGCUAGGGGAGCAAACAGG
rnacentral:rRNA from 1 species